rnacentral:ncRNA from 1 species
CCCCGACAGGGAUGGAAGAGGCCCUCAGCCUGACAAUGCACAUAUGAUUAAGGCGUUGCCACCUGCUUCAUGGCAUCUAACCAAUGUUUUUA